rnacentral:lncRNA from 1 species
GAUCUGUUUGAACCAAGUGAAGAAGAUAUGAAGAGUGUGUGAAAUUAUUCAAAUAUAUUCAGGCAAAAUUCUCCACUGUUGGGAGUUCCCUUGUGGCACAGUGGGUUAGGGAUCUGGCAUUAUCACUGCUGUGGCUCAGGUUUGAUCCCUGGCCCAGGAACUUCCACAUGCUACAGGCAAGGACAAAAAGAAAAAAAAAAUUUCCACUGUUGAAGAUAGGAGCCUAACACAGAGUGAUGAGGGAAAGGCUGUACCAUGUCUUUUAGUUCAGGCCUUGCCAACUAGUCAUAAAACUUAUUUUAUUUUUGAGUGGUGAGGGAAACCAGUUGUAUUCUUUCUAGUCAUACUGGAAGUAAGAAACAGUUCUUCUUCCAACGUUAUUUUUAUGUCAUAAAUGGUAACUGGUAUAGUCACAAAACAUGGAAACUAAGGACACACAAACACAUUUGGUGCUAAAAACAAGCAGCUGAAGGUAAAAUUAAUGACAUAUUGAAUCACGAAUAAACUCUGUCUUGCUCUAAAUGUUUAGACACAAAUACAAAAAGAUUCAAUUAUGUUGGGAAAUCAUGGCUCUGUAGCUCAGUAAGAAAGUGAAAAGAAGGGGUGGAGGACUAAGAGGCAACUUGGUGGCUUCCCUUGUUUACAGCAACUCUGACAGACUCUCUCCUUGACUGAACUUGAUUCGGCUCCCUUGAGACCUCUAGGCCACCAUCUUGGUAUCCGUCUUUCAUGGGCUUGAAUCACCCAACUGAAGCAAGAAUGAUAUUGCGAAGUCAGUUGGUUUGAAUCCCUUGUCCUCAAUAGCUGAUCACCUUCAUUAUGGAAUGAUAUUUUUCAUUGCCCAGGUGACAGGUGAUCACCAGGACCUUCCUGCAGCAUUGCAGUCAAAUCUACUUAACCCGAAUUCCCUUUUUACUCCAGUGUUUUCUCUCAACAAUGUCCCUUCCACUGACCUCCACCAUUCUCCGUAGCUGUGAACCCCGUCUGUCCAUACUGUCUGUCCAUACUGUAUCCAGAAUUGAGCUCAAUUUCAUAUUGAUGUCUCUUUUCUCAUUGCAAAGUUCCAAAAUCAUUAUUUUUUUACCAUUUUAACUGCUGUCAAGCUCUGGCUUUCUUUAAUGGUUAUUUGCCGCCUUAACCACUUCAGGCUCUAGUUUUUCUUUGACAGUUUCACAUACCCCUGUUUCAAGCCAAAAUGGUAUAGAAUGCCAUGUCCUAUCUAUCCUGUCCUGUGGUCAGUGUCUGAGAAUAAUGGAAGGUACUUGCCAGAGGUAGCCAGGCCUGGAUCGGCAGGACUUCAACAAGCUUCCUCCCCUGCACAAUCCUCCCUUUGCUCCCCCAUAUGACAUCAGCCCCAAGAGGAGGCUGAGGGUCCUGCCAUUGUCCCCUUCCACAUGGUGAUUGGAAUUGGCUGAUGCUUAAUAAUCAUUUCUCUCUGAAUUUGACAACAUGAUAUGAGAGGAUUAGGUGUUUUUUUUCCCCUGAAAAAUCCUACGUUUUGUAAUACAAAUAACUCUAUAGCCAAAUCCUGUCCUGUGCAAAAGAAUAUUUAUUAACAAAUGACAAGAGUAGGUGUACAUUGGUUCAGUAAACUUCCUGAUGUUUAAGUCCCAGAAACCCUUUCUUUUCAGUGCUCUGACACCUUGUAUAACAUAGGCUUUCUAGAGCUUGUGGAAAUGGAAGAGCAUACAGAGUUAUAGCUGGGUAUCGCUAUGGGGAAAAUAAAACCAGUAGUUGUUCGAUCUAUAGCCGACAUUCAUGUAAUUGGUGUUCCCCAGUAAACUGUCUGGCAUGCAAAAUGCUAAGUAUUCAAAGUACCUGGCAUUCGUGACCAUUGUAAUCGUAAACCAUUGGCAUUUGGUUUAUUUUCUCAAGCCAGACCAUUUUGCACUAUUCUUAAAUAUUUUGGCAUUAGAACUUUGUUUUUGAUACAGAUAAUUUCUCUUAUUUCCCUGUUUCCCUGUUGCUGCCCUGCAUUUAGCUGUAAUUCGCUUUAAUUGAGUCAUCCUCAUGAUCACGGAGAAUUUGUUUAGCCAUUGCCAUUUUUAGCUGUAAUCUCAUUUUGAAUUGUUUAUCCUGGCGAUUAACAUUAAUGCAUGAAGACUCAAGGUGGAGGGAAAAAAUGCUAUGUGAAAAAUUUAUUCUUUAAUAAUAUAAACCUUCAGAUGUUGGUUGUCAAAGGCUGCAACAUCUCUGAUCUUAAAAGAACUUGUCAAUAAAGACAGUACCAUUUGAAGGAGCUAUAUUGUUAAAUCCAACUAUUUUUGGAAAUCUGUAAGUCUUGCGGAUUUUGAAAUUUGCAUAAAUGAUCUGAAUCUCAGCUCUGAGUGAAAUGCAACUACUUGAUGGGAUAAUUUAAAAAGAGCCAGACACUGCAGUGAUGAUUAUCUACAAAAAUGAUCAUUCACUAAGUGGUUAUACCUAACUUUGCAAUAACUUAAUAUCACAGCAGUGAUUUUUAGUCAAUAAAUGGGAAUAUAGUUACGUUUGAGAACAUGUAAACCUGCAUCAUGUAGUAAAGCCUUUCAGCAGGGAGAGAAAAGAAGGGAAUGUAAACAUCAGAUUGAAUUAUUUGGGAAAGUUGAAGAGAAAUGUAGUUUUGCCUCUGCUGUGAUACUCAGCAUGGGAUGGAAUGAAUUCAGGGCUUGUAGCUCCAGGAGUCUAGCCAAUGGGGUUUGGCCAACAUUGGACCUUCCAGGCAAACAGAAAAGGAAUCGUAUUCUCCUGUUUCUGAGUAUUUGAUGUAUGCAUUACAUUUUUUUUGGGGGGGGGCAUCCUAAUCAGCUAAUGGUGUUGGCUUAGAAGCAUCUUUAAUUUAUGCCUGAUGAUCAGUGUGAAGUCGGGUAAAUUACUCAUUUUUUAACCAUUUCACUUUUGCCACUUAGGAAAAAAGAGGACUGAGAAGACUGUCUUUAGGCUAGCUGCACCUCUGCAAUUUUAUAUUUUGUAUGUGGAGAUGGCCAGUCUGUAGCUGAUUAUAUAAGUCAUAGUUCCAGGGAGAGAUCAAAAUGUGUGAUUUAGACUUGUUUCUAUGGAUGCUGGUUAGAGCCCAGAGAUUAGAUUGGGUCAAGAGUUUUUCUUUGUAGAUGGAAAAGAAUAAAGGAUCCAGGAAAGGUUCUAGGACCCUGCUGAGACCUGGGUGAGGAGCCAGCAAAUGUAAUCAGUAGGAGAGUGUCAAUGACUAGGAGACAAAUAAGGAGAGAAUGGGAUUCCUGAAGUCACGAGAAGAAAGCCUCAAACAUAAAAGUGAGUGGUAAACUCUGUUGAAAGUGUUUCCGAUUUCAUGGAUAAGAACAGAAGAGCUACCAUUGGACUUGGCUACCUAUAACUUGACAAAAAUUAGCUUGUAACAAUGAAAGUUCAAUUAGAGUAGUGUAAAUACAGAGUUGAGAUGGUAAAGUGGAGAAUGUGAUUAUGCAUAGCUCUUUCUAGAAGUUUUCCUCUUAAGGGUAGCAGAAGAAAACUGGAGCAAACCUGGAGAGAGAGAUGGAAUUAAGGAAAUUCAUCCUCUUGGUCUUUGUUUUCUUUUCUGGUAAGGUGUAAUAGAAAACAUUUUUUAGGUAAUAAUGAAAUAGAAAGAAAUCAGUGCAAGACUAUGGGCUCUGGAACCCAAAGCAGUUGGCAUCUGAUAGGAAUGGAGUCCUUGCAUCCACAUAGCAAUUAUUUUUCUAAAAAUUUUUAAUUGAGAAAAUAAAGUUGAGAACCAACGGCACAUGUGUGUGUAGUUGUUUGUGACGUAAAGGCAAUUCUCUUUGUAAAUCUUUGUCAAAAUUUUGAAAAACAGGAGUUCUCAUUGGGGCGCAGCAGAAAUUCCUAGAAAUUUGACUAGGAACCUUGAGAUUGCUGGUUUGAUCCCUGGCCUCGCUCAGUGGGUUAAAAUCCAGCAUUGCCAUGAGCUGUGGUGCAGGUCACAGAGGCAGCUCAGAUCCCGUGUUGCCGUGGCUGUGGAUAGGCUGGCCAGCUGUAGCUCCGAUUAGACCCUCUAAGCUAGGAGCCUCCGUAUGCCAUGGGUGCAGCCCUAAAAAGACAAAAGACAAAAAAAAUUUUUUAAAUAACAUUCCUUGAGGUAACAAAAUUAAAGGAGAGUAGGAUGAAGGACAAUAAUAAGAAAGAAUACAAAGUGGAAAGGGUAGAAAGAAAUAAAAUCUUCAAGGCAAAGGAUGGGGAAUUUCAGGAAGUAGCAGCUGAUUGAAGUUAUCAGGUACUAUUGAGCUAUAUGGAGUUGAGCACAAAAGAGGGCCUUUUCCCAAGUGAUUUCAAUGUGACCACUGCUUUGUUUACAAAGUUCAAAUGAACUACAGUAUAAUAUAAAGAAAACAGAAAAAUAAAAUUAAAAAACUUAAAAGAAUCUUUAUUCUUAGGACAAUGAUUUGUUUUUUGUUUUUGUCUUUCAAAUGAAGGCCAUGACACCUUGUGGAUUAUUACAUAAAGAUGUACUUCUUACCAUGGAUGGCUACAGGAAAAGAUAACGCAGAUAAGCAUGCUUAACCAAGGAGAGUUCACUGUGCACUGAGUUAUAUUUCAGUCUACUAACAGUCCAGAGGCCAGACAGUGUUAGAGUUUGCACUGGGAGAUGGUCUUUCACUUGUGCUCACUGUCUCUUGGCAAAUUAUUCCAUUCUAAGGCAUUAUGUAUCAGUUAAGAUUAAAAAACACUGGGGUAAGCAUAAAUAUGCCCCUCCCCCCAAAAUUUUAUGUUCUGAUGCUCAGAACCUGUGAAGUGGUUACCUAACAUAGUAAACAAGAUUUUGCAGAUGUGAUUAAAUUAAGGAUUCUGAGAUGGAGAGCUUGUCCUGGCUUAUUGGGGUGGGCCCAAUAUAACUACGAGCGUCCUUAUAAGUAAAAGAACAAGUCAGGAGAUUCAGAAGGGGAGAUGUGAUGAUGAAAACAGAGCGAAAGAGUGUGAGAAAAAUUCAACUGGCAAAUGCUGACUUUAAUGAUAGUAGGAGGCCAAGAGCCAGAUAUUAGCGGCUUCUCCCAUGGAUGUAGGAAAACAGAAACAGAUUCUCCCCUCGAACCUCCAGGUGACUUUGGCCCAGUAAGUCCCAUUUCAGGCUUGUGAACUGCAGAACUGUCAGAAAAUGCAUGUGUGUUGUUUUAAGUCACGCUUUUGUUCGAGCAGAAAUAGGGAGCUAAUAUAAAUGUGAAUGGGCUAAAGAGGGAAGAGACUUGCCAGCUGAAUUUGUCACCUUAUAUUAGGAAAGCAAAAGCCUCCUAGGAAACCUAAUAAGUUGGCAUUUGCUCCCAUCCUUUUAUCUAGAAUUUGUCCCAUGGUCACCCUAAAUCCAUCAUUGACCAAAAAUAAUUGAAAUGUGCUAUCAGUAUUAGGCAAUCACAGUCCAUGCUCGGAGCCUGAGGCAAGAGAUGUUGUCCUUUCUAAUAUCCAUUGGCUUCUGUCAUUAGCAGGGACAAAGUCUGUUGGAAGGGAAGAAGGUCGAGGAGGAAUGGACUCUGGAUGUGUAGCUGAUGAUGGGAUAUUGGACAUAGAGCUGAUGUUGGGAUGCUGGAGGUGUAAUAGAUGUUGGGAUACUGUGUAUGAGAAGGUAUUGGGAAGUUGGGUGUGUAGCAGGUGUGUCUUCCACAAUGCCCAUUAUUUCCCAUCUGCCAGCAAACCUCAUUAUUUCCUUUCAAAAAUAUAUUCCAAACUUGUCUUACCUUCAUGGACCAUUCUGUUUCAAUCUAGCAUCAUCUCUCUUUUGAAUUU